rnacentral:lncRNA from 1 species
GAUGCAGCGGCCUUUUAUCUUCCAAUGGGGACCCCGGAGGUUCAGUGGGUGGCUACAGAUUACAGGUUGCCUCAAAAGUACCCCAGGCCUCUGUUAUAAACAUGUAUUAUAUAAAUAUUUUGUAUCGACUACAGACACCUGUAGAAAUGGAAAAGCAAGUCUUGUCAACAAGAAAUGGAUGUCCACACACAAACCAAGAAAGAUUCUGAGAAAAAGUACACUAGUAGGUCAAAAUGCCCAAACGUAUCAUCUAGGCACCUAUCUUAAAAAGCAAGCAACGGGGCAGGUGGUUGUGGCGCACACGCCUUUAAUCCCGGUGCUCAGGAGUCAGAGGCAGGUGGACCUCUGACUUCCAGGCUAGCCUGGUCUACAGAGUUCUAAGAUACCCAAGGCUAUACGGAGAAAUCCUGCCUUUUAAAAAAAAAAAAAAAAA